UACAGAGGUCUCAAGCGUUGUUCGGAUUCAUUGGGCGUAAAGGGUGCGUAGGUGGCGCUGUAAGUCGGGUGUGAAAUUUCGGGAGCUUAACUCCGAAACUGCAUUCGAUACUGCGGUGCUUGAGGACUGGAGAGGAGACUGGAAUUCAUGGUGUAGCAGUGAAAUGCGUAGAGAUCAUGAGGAAGACCAGUGGCGAAGGCGGGUCUCUGGACAGUUCCUGACACUGAGGCACGAAAGCUGGGGGGAGCAAACAGG
rnacentral:rRNA from 1 species